GUGGGGGUGUCCCAGUGUUAGAGAAAUUGUUUGGCAUGCUAGAGGCUCUGGGUUCAAGUCCCUGUACCAACA
rnacentral:tRNA from 1 species